GUUGAACGCUGGCGGCGGGCCUAACACAUGCAAGUCGAGCGGUUGAAGGGAGCUUUCCCCUGGUUGCAGCGUCGGGCGGGUGAGUGAUGCCUAGAAGUCAGCUUGGUAGUGGGGGAUGAUGUCCGGAGACGGGCGCUAAUACCGCAUCCGUACUGAGGGUGAUAGAGGGCGUUUUUCGGAACGCUCGCUUUCCGAUGAUACUAGGUCGGCUUGGCUAGUUGGUGGGGUAAGGGCGUACCAAGGCGACGAUCCGUAACUGUUCUGAGAGGAUGAUCAGUCACACUGGAACUGAGACACGGCCCAGAUUCCUACGGGGGGCAGCAGUGGGGAAUAUUGGACAAUGGGCGAAAGCCUGAUCCAGCAAUGCCGCGUGUGUGAAGAAGGUCUUCGGAUUUUAAAGCCCUUUGAGUGGGGAGGACGGGCAGUAAGUUAAUACCUUGCUGCUUUGACGUUACCUAAAGAAAAAGCACCGGCUAACUACGUG
rnacentral:rRNA from 1 species